rnacentral:SRP_RNA from 1 species
CGACAGAUCCUAGGCAAUAUACGCCUCCCAACCCCGUCAGGACAGGAAUGUAGCAGCGGUCAGAGGAUGUUAUAUGUGACCUAGCUCAUUUGUCGCUU